rnacentral:rRNA from 1 species
AUUGAACGCUGGCGGCAGGCCUAACACAUGCAAGUCGAGCGAGCGGCGGACGGGUGAGUAAUGUAUGGGGACUGCCCGAUCGAGGGGGAUAACUACGGGAAACGGUGGCUAAUACCGCAUCCUGUCGGAUUACCCACAUGGGAUUAGCGAGUAGGUAAGGUAAUGGCUUACCUAGGCGACGAUCCCUAGCUGGUCUGAGAGGAUGAUCAGCCACACUGGGACUGAGACACGUCCCAGACUCCUACGGAGGCAGCAGUGGGGAAUAUUGCACAAUGGGCGAAAGCCUGAUGCAGCCAUGCCGCGUGUAUGAAGAAGGCCCUAGGGUUGUAAAGUACUUUCAGUCGGGAGGCGUUACCGACUGAAGAAGCACCGGCUAACUCCGUGCCAGCCGCCGCGGUAAUUC